CAAUUGCCAUGUGUUGGUAUU
rnacentral:miRNA from 1 species